AGUGGGAUAACUGGGUCAAAUGGUGGUUUCAUUCCAAGUUUUCUAAGGAAUCUCCAUACUGCUUUCCAGAGUGGCUGCACCAAUUUGCAGACCCACCAGCAAU
rnacentral:pre_miRNA from 1 species